GGCCGGGGGAAUGCGAUUCAGGCCUAACACAUGCAAGUCGAACGGUAACAGGAAGAAGCUUGCUUCUUUGCUGACGAAAAGCGGACGGGUGAGUAAUGUCUGGGAAACUGCCUGAUGGAGGGGGAUAACUACUGGAAACGGUAGGUAAUACCGCAUAACGUCGCAAGACCAAGGAGGGGGACCUUGGGGCCUCGUGCCGUCGGAUGUGCCCAGAUGGGAUUAGCUAGUAGGUGGGGUAACGGCUCACCUAGGCGAUGAUCCCUAGCUGGUCUGAGAGGAUGACCAGCCACACUGGAACUGGGACACGGUCCAGACUCCUACGGGAGGCAGCAGUGGGGAAUAUUGCACAAUGGGCGC
rnacentral:rRNA from 1 species